rnacentral:rRNA from 1 species
CGCAUCUGUGCAUGCAGCAUAUCAAUAAGCGGAGGAAAAGAAACUAACAAGGAUUCCCUUAGUAACGGCGAGUGAAGCGGGAAGAGCUCAAAUUUGAAAUCUUCAAGGUUUUACCUUGACGAAUUGUAGUUUAAAGAAGUGUUUUCUGUUGAAGUUUUGGUAAAAGUUCUUUGGAAUAGGACAUCAUAGAGGGUGAGAAUCCCGUAUUUGACCAUUUACUUUUCAGCUGUGUGAUACACUUUCAAAGAGUCGGAUUGUUUGGGAAUGCAGUCCAAAAUGGGUGGUAAAUUUCAUCUAAAGCUAAAUAUUGGCGAGAGACCGAUAGCGAACAAGUACCGUGAGGGAAAGAUGAAAAGAACUUUGAAAAGAGAGUUAAACAGUACGUGAAAUUGUCAAAAGGGAAGCGUUUGACACCAGUGUUGUUUUCUCGAAAAUCAAUUAAAAAGAGUUUGAUUUUGUUGUGUAUUGACCUUAACAGCUUGCAUUUCAAUUUUCUUGCUUUUUUUAAUGCACUUUUCGUUUAACAAGUCAACAUCAGUUUCUUUUGUUGUAAAAAGGUCAUUGGAAGGUGGCUUUCUUUUCGGAGAAAGUGUUUAUAGCCUUUGACUCCUGCAAUCGGAGAGACUGAGGUCUGCAGCGUAGAUCCUUCAGGGUUAGAUACAUUUGUGCUAAGUUAUAGCUUUUUAUAGACAACUUGUUGACUAUGAUUAGUCUUGUAGCUUACUCGCUUAUGCUAUUUUACCUACGCUUAGGAUGUUGAUGUGAUACUGCGAGCA